rnacentral:rRNA from 1 species
UACGGAAGGCAGCAGUGGGGAAUAUUGCACAAUGGGCGCAAGCCUGAUGCAGCCAUGCCGCGUGUAUGAAAAAGGCCUUCGGGUUGUAAAGUACUUUCAGUCGUGAGGAAGGUGUUAAGGUUAAUAACCUUAGCAAUUGACGUUAGCGACAGAAGAAGCACCGGCUAACUCCGUGCCAGCAGCCGCGGUAAUACGGAGGGUGCGAGCGUUAAUCGGAAUUACUGGGCGUAAAGGGCACGCAGGCGGUUAAUUAAGUUGGAUGUGAAAUCCCCGGGCUUAACCUGGGAAUGGCAUUCAAGACUGGUUAGCUAGAGUCUUGUAGAGGGGGUAGAAUUCCAUGUGUAGCGGUGAAAUGCGUAGAGAUGUGGAGGAAUACCGGUGGCGAAGGCGGGCCCCUGGGACAAAGGACUGACGCUCAUGUGCGAAAGCGUGGGGAGCAAACAGGGAUUAGAUACC